rnacentral:rRNA from 1 species
UACGGAGGGUGCAAGCGUUAUCCGGAUUCACUGGGUUUAAAGGGUGUGUAGGCGGCUAUUUAAGUCAGAGGUGAAAUCUCCAGGCUCAACCUGGAAACUGCCUUUGAUACUAUUUAUCUUGAAUUUUGUUGAGGUAGGCGGAAUACAUCAUGUAGCGGUGAAAUGCUUAGAUAUGAUGUAGAACACCGAUUGCGAAGGCAGCUUACUAAACAAACAUUGACGCUGAGGCACGAAAGCGUGGGGAUCAAACAGG